rnacentral:rRNA from 1 species
GACGUAGGGGGCCAGCGUUGUUCGGAAUUACUGGGUGUAAAGGGUUCGUAGGCGGUGCGGCAAGUUGGGAGUGAAAUCUCUGGGCUUAACCCAGAGGCUGCUUCCAAAACUGCUGUGCUUGAGUGUGGGAGAGGCGCGUGGAAUUGCAGGUGUAGCGGUGAAAUGCGUAGAUAUCAAGAGGAAUACCUGAGGUGAAGACGGGUUGCUAGGCCGACACUGACGCUGAAGCGCGAAAGCCAGGGGAGCAAACGGG